CUCAAUUAGAACAAAAAAUAAAUAGAAGUUCCUUCUCUCUAAAUUCUCUCUCUACUACAAUCCUACAUUGAGAAACCUUCAAGCUUCAAGGAAGAGGAUCUUUCUCAAAGGUUUCAACCCUAAUUUCGUGCCUAGGUCUUCAAUAAGGCAUGGAAGUUCUCAAUUCAAGGGAUCGGAGAUAUGGUAUGCUAUGGAGGUUGACUAGGUUUCUAAGUGGUUGAAGAUGAAGACUUGGUGAGUCAUCAUAGAUGAAAGGACAAUACCCUACAUGUUCCUUUAUGUCAUUUAGUCUUUUUUUAACUUUUAUAUGGGCUUAGUCCCAACUCUAAAGUAUUAGAUGGUUUGUGAGACAUACAUGUUGUAAAGUUAGAUGUUUUACAAAGUCUUCUGUUUGCUCAUUAA